GGUAGCCGGCCUGAGAGGGCGACCGGCCACACUGGGACUGAGACACGGCCCAGACUCCUACGGGAGGCAGCAGUGGGGAAUAUUGCGCAAUGGGCGAAAGCCUGACNCAGCRACGCCGCGUGGGGGAUGAAGGCCUUCGGGUUGUAAACCUCUUUCAGCAGGGAAGAAGCGAAAGUGACGGUACCUGCAGAAGAAGCACCGGCNAACUACGUGCCAGCAGCCGCGGUAAUACRUAGGGUGCAAGCGUUGUCCGGAWUUAUUGGGCGUAAAGAGCUCGUAGGYGGUUNGUCACGUCGGAUGUGAAAUCCCGGAGCUNAACUCCGGGCCUGCAUUCGAUACGGGCUNACUSGAGUGUNGUAGGGGAGACUGGAAUUCCU
rnacentral:rRNA from 1 species